GGCAGACGGGUGAGUAACGCGUAGGGAACCUACCUUUUUGUGGGGAAUAACGAUCCGAAAGGAUUGGUAAUACCGCAUGAGACCCAUGGCUGGGAUGCUGUUGGUGAAAGCCGGGGAUCGAAAGACCUGGCGCAAGAAGAGGGUCCUGCGUCUGAUUAGCUAGUUGGCGGGGUAACGGCCCACCAAGGCGUCGAUCAGUAGCCGGCCUGAGAGGGUGAUCGGCCACACUGGAACUGAGACACGGUCCAGACUCCUACGGGAGGCAGCAGUGGGGAAUUUUGCGCAAUGGGCGAAAGCCUGACGCAGCAACGCCGCGUGGGUGAUGAAGGUCUUCGGAUCGUAAAACCCUGUCGUCAGGGACGAAGGUAGGGGAUCUAACAGGUCUCUUGCUUGACGGUACCUGGAGAGGAAGCCCCGGCUAACUCUGUGCCAGCAGCCGCGGUAAUACAGAGGGGGCAAGCGUUAUUCGGAAUUAUUGGGCGUAAAGGGCGCGUAGGCGGUUUUUUAAGUGAGAUGUGCAAUCCCCGAGCUUAACUUGGGAACUGCAUCUCA
rnacentral:rRNA from 1 species